rnacentral:lncRNA from 1 species
UAGCAUUGAAGAAUCGUGUUAAUCAGAAGGAAAAUAUAAGAAUUGAGAAAGCCAAUACUAUCGAUAAACCUGUACUACAACAUCUUGAUUCUCACCUAUCAACUUCUUCAUCAUCCCGCCACAUUCAGGCGAAGACUCUAUUUCUUCCUCUCCAUUAUGUCGUUCCCUCUUCUGGGGCCAUCUGACUUGGUAAUUUUUUUUUAAUAUGACUGGCAGUUAACAUGAACAAAAAUUGAAGGGACCAGCUACCACAGUGUAGAUUCGUUAAAAUUAGGGACAAAUCUAA